rnacentral:rRNA from 1 species
AACGAACGCUGGCGGCAUGCCUAACACAUGCAAGUCGAACGAGAUCUUCGGGUCUAGCGGCUCACGGGUGCGUAGCGCGUGGGAAUCGGACCUUUGGUUCGGAAGAACAGUUGGAAACGAUUGCUAAUACCGGCUGAAGACGAAAGUCCAAAGAUUUAUCGCCAGAGGAUGAGCCCGCGUAGGAGUAGCUAGGUGGUGUGGUAAAGGCGCACGAAGGCGACGAUCCUUAGCUGGUCUGAGAGGAUGAUCAGCCACACUGGGACUGAGACACGGCCCAGACUCCUACGGGAGGCAGCAGUGGGGAAUAUUGGACAAUGGGCGAAAGCCUGAUCCAGCAAUGCCGCGUGAGUGAUGAAGGCCUUAGGGUUGUAAAGCUCUUUUACCCGGGAUGAUAAUGACAGUACCGGGAGAAUAAGCUCCGGCUAACUCCGUGCCAGCAGCCGCAGUAA